rnacentral:rRNA from 2 species
ACGGAGGAUGCGAGCGUUAUCCGGAUUUAUUGGGUUUAAAGGGUGCGUAGGUGGUGAUUUAAGUCAGCGGUGAAAGUUUGUGGCUCAACCAUAAAAUUGCCGUUGAAACUGGGUUACUUGAGUGUGUUUGAGGUAGGCGGAAUGCGUGGUGUAGCGGUGAAAUGCAUAGAUAUCACGCAGAACUCCGAUUGCGAAGGCAGCUUACUAAACCAUAACUGACACUGAAGCACGAAAGCGUGGGGAUCAAACAG